UACGGAGGGUCCAAGCGUUAUCCGGAAUCAUUGGGCUUAAAGGGUUCGUAGGCGGUUUGAUAAGUCAGUGGUGAAAUCUUUCGGCUCAACCGGGAAAUGGCCAUUGAUACUGUCAGACUUGAAUUAGUAGGAAGUAACUAGAAUAUGUAGUGUAGCGGUGAAAUGCUUAGAGAUUACAUGGAAUACCAAUUGCGAAGGCAGGUUACUGCUAAUGGAUUGACGCUGAUGGACGAAAGCGUGGGUAGCGAACAGG
rnacentral:rRNA from 1 species